UAUAUUUUGUAGCAAGGUUAACUGUAAUAAGGGAGCCGUAGGGAAACCGAGUCUUAACUGGGCGUUAAGUUGCAAGGUAUAGACCCGAAACCCGGUGAUCUAGCCAUGAGCAGGUUGAAGGUUAGGUAACACUAACUGGAGGACCGAACCGACUAAUGUUGAAAAAUUAGCGGAUGACUUGUGGUUAGGGGUGAAAGGCCAAUCAAACCGGGAGAUAGCUGG
rnacentral:rRNA from 1 species